ACAAAAAUGAAAUUCAAAGCAUGAUGACUGGGUGUUCACGCUCUUGUGUGACGUGUGCCCCCCCACAAACUUUGGACAUCAGCAUAUUCAUUACCCGUCUGACA